UACGUAGGGGGCAAGCGUUGUCCGGAUUUAUUGGGCGUAAAGAGCGUGUAGGCGGCCAUGCAGGUCAGCUGUGAAAACUCGAGGCUCAACCUCGAGACGUCGGUUGAAACCGUAUGGCUAGAGUCCGGAAGAGGAGAGUGGAAUUCCCGGUGUAGCGGUGAAAUGCGCAGAUAUCGGGAAGAACACCUAUGGCGAAGGCAGCUCUCUGGGACGGUACUGACGCUGAGACGCGAAAGCGUGGGGAUCAAACAGG
rnacentral:rRNA from 1 species